AAAAACUACAAACAUGGCAGAUACACAAGACUGAUGUUAAUAUAAAGGAGGUUUGAGUGAUUAAUAAUCAAUAUCAACCUGAUGAAACAUUAUUUCUUUAAUAUUAUCCACAUUAUGUUUCAUCUGCAACAACAUUGUAACAUUUUAUGAGAAACCAUAGAUAUGUAGAUGUAGAUUCGACUGCUUCAGAUACAUCGAUGCAUCCGCCACCUUGGAACAGUCAACAUGUCACUCAAAGUAAAAGAUGCACAGCCUCUGGUUGUAAAAACCGCAGAGAUUUAAACUCCAGAAGAAAUGGGAUAAACUUUCACAGGUGAGAAUGAGUUGAUUUGUGUUUUUAUAACUCAAUCAUUCAUCACAGUCAGGAGCUCAUGUGCCCUGAAAUUAUUGGAUGUUAAGGAAAACACUGUAGUGUAAGUUCAUUUAAUUUGAUAUUACAUAUAAUUUGUGUAAAAUGUAAAGUGUUGCAUAUUUUAUUGGUACAGAGAAGGAUUUGUGUAUUUUGUAAAAACGUUAUCAACUUCGUUUUAUCAUUUACUUAGAAGCGCCACAAUUAAUUUAUCCUUCAUAGGGACUACAGAACAGAUACUUUAAAGUUUAUUUUAAAGUGCAAAGUAUAACAUGUACAAAAUGUGUUAAAUAAAGCUCUGUAGAAACUUAAUUUUUUGCAGCACUGAAAGUGUGUCAUUGGUUAAUCAAAAGUACUUCACAUACCCACACUUGUGGCUUUCACACCAACUUGAACACUUUGGCCAAAUACAGGAAAUACGUCACGCAAGUAAACAACCGGUCAAGUGCAAAGACUACAUGUAUGGGCAUUGUGACUGACUCUAUGUAUAUUUAGAUAUGGUUUAAAUGGUAACAGGAUGCAUGCAAGUCUCUGUUAAAGAUGCAAUUGUGAUGAGCUUGUUUUUCCCAAACCUCGUCUACUAUUCUGCUACACACUCUAAAUUAUGAAGAUACUUUUUCAUCACAAAAUGUGCACAUACUUUUAAGACAUACUGUACUAUAAGUAGGUGAAUUGGGACGCAGCACCUUUGAGUCACACUCAGUCAAAAUCUAUUGCUAGAUCACUGCAGACUCUUAAUGUAAU
ensembl:lncRNA